GACGAACGCUGGCGGCGUGCCUAAUACAUGCAAGUAGAACGCUGAAGAGAGGAGCUUGCUCUUCUUGGAUGAGUUGCGAACGGGUGAGUAACGCGUAGGUAACCUGCCUGGUAGCGGGGGAUAACUAUUGGAGACGAUAGCUAAUACCGCAUAAUAGUAGAUGUUGCAUGACAUUUGCUUAAAAGGUGCAAUUGCAUCACUACCAGAUGGACCUGCGUUGUAUUAGCUAGUUGGUGAGGUAACGGCUCACCAAGGCAAUGAUACAUAGCCGACCUGAGAGGGAGAUCGGCCACACUGGGACUGAGACACGGCCCAGACUCCUACGGGAGGCAGCAGUAGGGAAUCUUCGGCAAUGGACGGAAGUCUGACCGAGCAACGCCGCGUGAGUGAAGAAGGUUUUCGGAUCGUAAAGCUCUGUUGUAAGAGAAGAACGAGUGUGAGAGUGGAAAGUUCACACUGUGACGGUAUCUUACCAAAAGGCGG
rnacentral:rRNA from 1 species